rnacentral:rRNA from 1 species
UCAGUAACGGCGAGUGAAGCGGCAACAGCUCAAAUUUGAAAUCUGGCUCCUUCGGGGCCCGAGUUGUAAUUUGCAGAGGAUGUGUCGGGUACGGGUUCCCUCCGAGUUCCCUGGAACGGGACGCCAUAGAGGGUGAGAGCCCCGUCUGGUAGGACACCCAGCCCGUGUGACACUCCCUCGACGAGUCGAGUAGUUUGGGAAUGCUGCUCUAACGGGAGGUAUACUCCUUCCAAGGCUAAAUACCGGCUGGAGACCCGAUAGCGCACAAGUAGAGUGAUCGAAAGAUGAAAAGUACUUUGAAAAGAGAGUCAAAUAGCACGUGAAAUUGUUAAAAGGGAAGCACUCGCUACCAGACUUGGGUUCGGCGGUUCAACCGGGGCCACGCCCCGGGGCAUUCCGCCGGCCCAGGCCAGCAUCAGCUUUCCGUCGGGGGCCAAAGGCGUCGGGAAUGUGGCUCCCCCUCGGGGGGAGUGUUAUAGCCCGGCGCGUCAUACCCUUCGGGGGGGCUGAGGUACGCGCUUCUGCAAGGAUGCUGGCGUAAUGGUAGCUAGUGACCCGUCUUGAAACACGGACCAAGGAGUCGACCUUAUGUGCGAGUGCCCCGGGCGUAAAACCCCCAGCGCGGAAUGAAAGUGAACCGUAGGUGAGAGCUUCGGCGCAUCACCGACCGAUCCAGAUGUCCUCGGACGGAAUUUGAGUGAGAGCAUAUAGGGUCGGGACCCGAAAAGAAGAUGAACUAUGCGUGGUGUAGGGUGAAAGCCAGAGGAAAACUCUGGUGGAGGCUCGCAGCGGUUUCUGACGUGCAAAUCGAUCGUCAAACAUGCGCCAUGGGGGGCGAAAGACUAAUCGAAUCUUCUGGUAGCUGGGUUUCCGCCGAAGUUUCCCUCAGGGAUAGCAGUGUUGAUCCCAGUUUUAAUGAGGUAAAGCGAAUGAUUUAGGGACUCGGGGGCUAUAUAUUGCCUUCAUCCAUUCUCAAACUUUAAAUAUGUAAGAAGUCCCUGGUUUCUUAAUUGGAACGUGGGACACUGGAAUGUCACAACACUAAGUGGGCCAUUUUUGGUAAGCAGAACUGGCGAUGCGGGAUGAACCGAACGCGAGGUUAAGGUGCCGGAGUGGACGCUCAUCAGACACCACAAAAGGUGUUAGUACAUCUUGACAGCAGGACGGUGGCCAUGGAAGUCGGAAUCCGCUAAGGACUGUGUAACAACUCACCUGCCGAAUGUACUAGCCCUGAAAAUGGAUGGCGCUCAAGCGUCCCACCCAUACCUCGCCCUCGACGCUGGCUCGGCGCGUCGAGGA